rnacentral:tRNA from 1 species
GCUCAGUUGGCAGAGCACCAGAUUGUGGAUCUGGGUGUCGCGGGUUCAAGUCCCGCUAGCCA